CAUUGUAAACUUUGCUUCCCUGUCUUGAAACUUUGCUUCCCUGUCUCUCGGCCGUCAUGGGAGGAAAAUGCUCCUUGUUUACCUCAUCAAAUUAUUCCGAAAUCGACGUUAAUUCCUUCUUUUCCUUUAUCUUCUCACAGCCACUGGUUCCAGAGCCCUGGAGAUUCACUCCGCCCUCACUGCCCCUUCAGUCCCUCCACAGAAGUCCACCCAGCGCCUACUUGGGGUCUAGAAGCGAGCGCUCCUGGGCAUUCGGCAAGGAAGGAUAUAGUUUACAUCCACCAGAAAAGGCAGAGGACAGACACGUGAGAUGAUUUUACAUUGUGAUAAGGGCUGUGAAGGACAUAAAGAGGGCUGAGGAGUGAGGAGGGAUUACUGAAGAUGAGGAAGGUGGAGGCCGCCCUGAGCUGGUCACAUCUAGACGGUUCUGGACUGGGGACACCCAGCCAGCCAUUCGGGGGGAGGGAUGGCCGCAGCGGCUCACUUAUUUAAUGUGUGUUUACUGGGGGAUUCUUGAUAGGAGAGAUGUGGUGAUAAGUGAGACAGUUAGGGUCCUUGCCGUCAGGGAGCUUAUAGUUCAGAGGGAAAAACCGAAAAAAUAAGCAAAUAAGAGCAGUCACUGCUAAGCACUCUUCACAGAGUUGAGAUAAAGGCUGGUCCUGGCACAGAGUAACUGGGCAACGAGCCAGAGGAAAGGGCAGUGCAGAGGGUCCACUGCAGGAAGGAGGAUUCGGGUCAGAUAAACAAAACGAAUGCAGUGUUCUUCCAACCCACACCUGGAUGUUCCCCAUGGUACGCUGGUCACCCCGUUGGUGACACUCAUUGCUGCCCAAAUCACAGUGGCCCCGAGGCCCCUCCGCGUUUACUUGUGAGAGUUCCAGCCUGUCGCAGAGGUUUCCCUUCCCAGGGGUGCUUACACCAUCCUGUGCCUUGGGUGUCCUGUCCCGGGGCUGCCACCCCUGCUGGGUGCCUUGAGGUCAGACACACUUCCGGUCCCAGCCUCAUGUGCAGACCUGCCGACCCCUCCGAUGGGGGUCUCCGUGAGGACACUGAUGGGGAAGGUGGACAACAACAAGAUCAAUGUCUGGAGAGACGCAGCCAGUGUGCAGAGAGGCAGCUCCGGUGGAUGACGCAGCGGAUCCCCGCUGGGAUUCGGGAGGUGGGAUUCGCUGGAGAAAGACUUAGUUUCACCCGUUCAAAGGAAAAAGAAUUAACAGAGAGCCUGCCACGUGCUAGAGUGAUGUCUAGCAGGGGCCGGUGAUCCUAGGCCAGUGAAAAUCUAGCCCUUGCCCUUGCUACUCACUGAGCUUAGGGUUCAGUGGGAUACCAAGGUAGGAUGUCUGGAUGCAAUUCCAAGAGCACCAGGAGGCAUUUGAAUCACAAAGGAGACUUUCUGUAGCAAGUCAUGGCAAACCUAACCCAUGCUGGCUUGAACAAUAAAGAGGGCUUGUUGGUUCACCUUAGUGGAGAGGAUGGAAAGUGGGGAGGCUUCAGGCGUGGUGUGGUCAGGGCUCCGGCUCUGAGUGUCUGUGAUUCCCUUGGCUCCAUCCCCUUCCUGUAGGCUGGCACCUUCCUCAUACUGGUUUCCCUCAAGGUCACAAGAUAGCUGCAACAGACACAGGGGUGGCCCUUUCUCAUACACAUUCCAGGAGGACAGAGGGAGAGCAUUAUCCCUACGACUUCAAAAUUCAAUCCUAAGCCUCUUGCUGGUCCUUACACCAGCCCAACCUCUGUGGCCAAGAGAAUGCAAAGCCCUGAUUACCAAUUCCCGUAGCAGGGCCAGUGGCGCUGUCGGGGUUGGCUAACUCAGCUCACCUCUGGAGCAGGGGCAGAUCCUAUCAGGCCACCAGACAGUGGGUGGGGACUGGCAGUAAUGCCCAUUCAAUGGAAAGAUUGGCGUGACUGUGUUUAUAUUGUUAAAGAUCACUCUGGACGGAGAUAGACUGGAGAGGGGCACGGGAGGAGGAGGGUAGAACAUUAGGAGCUAUCCCAGGGAGAGGUGAUGGUGGUUGGGCCCGGCGGGGAGGCACGGUGACAGAGCAAAAGGGACAAAUCUGGAUCCUGCCUCUUGUCCUUGGCAGCUGAGUGGCAAUAACAAAUCCCUUAACUUCUCUGCAUAUCCUUUUCCAAAUCCAUAAUAUGGCUGUAUGAAUUCUUAGUUUUCAGGAUUAGAGAAGACACCUUAAACGGGGCUGCCACAAUGUAGGUCCUCAAUGAGCGGCAUUAUUAUUAUUAUUAUUAUUAUCACCCAAACUCCUUAGUAUGAAAUUCAAGCCCCUUCAUGUUCUGUAUCUACAAGCCACUGAGCGGGCAUAUCUGGGUUCUUCAGACAGAACGCUCUUCCCGUCACAAGGCAGAACCUUCCAGAAUGGAAAGUAAUUAUUCUAUAGCCAGUUAUGAAACUUCUUUUUUGUCCCCAGGGGAUUUUGUCCCUGAUCCUGUUAGUCAAUGUCUGCACUUGGAGCAGCACAGGGGGUGGUUUGUCAUGUUUUCAGUCCACAAAUAUUGACAAAAGAACGAGGGUUGGCUUAAUGCACUUUAUUGAGUAAGAACAAAUGAGCUCGCUCAAAUUUCCAGAAAUUUUCUCCUGAACUGAGUUGCAAUAUAGCUUUUGUCACUUUUCCCAGCCAGAGUCCUGAGCCCAGGAAAGCCCCCAUCUUAUCACUGCCACUGCAAAAUGAUUUCACCAAAAACAGUGGGUUGGGUGUUUUCCCUGAGCAUAAUAAUUUUGUGUAGUACAACCAGCGCCUCAGCCUGCAAGGGAGACAUGAGAUCCUGGCAGAAACAUACCAGUCUGCAAUCAACAGCAGCGGAUGUUUUGCAAGGACCUCCCAGUUUUUUGGGCCACAUUUGAGCCGCCCCAGGAUGGAUGACCCUGCAACAGGUGCUCUUUGGCUUCAAUGGAACGUGGAUCAGGAAAUUAUUUCUGGGUAUUUAUAUGAGGGAAGAAGAAAAGCUGCUGAGAGUUCAACUUUUGGACACUCCAGCAACAUCUGAAAUAUCAAAAACUAUCCUUCCAAAAGAAAACUAUCAACUCUUUUGACUGUGUUUGGAAUCUUUCUUUGAAGCUUUAGCCAAAGAUGAGAUAAAUGUGAAAGUUCACUGCGGAGCAGAGGGGAGAGUUUUUCACACUGCUGGCGUUUUGUUGGAGCACGACGAUAUGAAUCACAGAUGGCUUCCUCGGCAGAUGUGGCCCUGUAGAACUGCAGUGCUGGUUUAUAAGGGGUUUAAUGAAAACCUGGCACCCUUCCAGACUUGAAUCAAUCCUCUGGGGUUCUCAGCUUAUGCACACACAGACCAAUCUGCAAAUGUGCACCCUGUUGAUGGUGUGUGGGGGGGUGCUGGGGUGAAAAGUUUUUACCUGCGAAACAAAGCCAGGCCGAUCUGGCCAAGUUCACAGGCGUGGGGCCUGGGAGAUGGAACAGUGGCCUGGAAGGGAAGUUCGUAGGAGGAGAGUGGCUACAUCUGGAGGCUGUCCAGAUGGCCACUGCCCAGCUGGGGGUGAUCUGGGCUCAGGUAGAACGAUGGCUUUCCCAGCUGCUUGGGGCUCACAGUAUUUUCUUCCUUGACAUGGGUUAAGAGUAAGCAGGAGCCACAAGUGGGAGAUAUGGAAUAACAAAAUAGUUUCAUUAGUUCAGAAUAUAGACUGGAACUGGACUUGCCUAUUGUUGCCUCCGCUUGAAAUGAGCCACUGUUAUUUCUCAUUUUGCCAUCAAUUGUCAAUAUUUCAUUUUGCCAUCAAUUGUCGUUCCUUGGCGAAGGCUUCCUUGAUCACUUUCCUAAAAGAGAGCCUCCAAGCUCUUUGCUAUAUUCUAUCUUAGCCGUGCAUUUAUUUCAUGACAUGUCGCAAUUUAUUUGCCUAUUUGCUUGCUGUUUUGGCCCUUUAGUAAAAUAUAAGCCCCUCGAGGGUAGGAACUCUGUUCAUCUUGUUAACCAAUGUAGCCCAGCGCCUAGUAGAGCACCCGGUACAUAGUAGACAUUCAAUAACCAUUGUUGGAUGAAUGAAUAAAUUUUGUGACAAGAAUAAGAUCAAUCUUUGCAGCUUAAUGCCACCAUUUACAAGUUUUAAAACUGUCCACAUUACUUAAUCUUUCUUAGUCUCAGAUUCUUCAUCUGUAAAAAAGGGAUAAAUACAAUAAAGAAUAGUUGUUUAUGUAGAAUAGCAUCUUGCACAUAAGAAAUAGCCAAUAAAUUGAAGCUAUCGUUAUGCAAUCAUUGAAGAAUUAAGUUAACUACCAACAAAUGUUUAUCAAUAUUUCUGUUCAGCUCAUAUCUAUUGAGUAUCUAGUAUAUGCCAUGCCCCAAACCAAGCACUUUUACAUGCAUUAUCUUAUGUUAUUCUUCACAACAACCUUGUAAUAUGUUCUCAUUUCAGAAGAAAGGAAACAGACUUAGAUUAAGUGGCUUGAACAGGCUUAUGUAGCUAUUCAGUGGCAGCGGCAAAAUUAACUCCAUUUCUAUUUUUAAAGCAUAAUUUUCCCCCAUAAUUCCAGGCUGCUUUCUAUUAACACUCACUCUGGAUAAAUAAACAUAAGGAAGCCACAUUCUCUGUCCUCUGGGGGCUCUGGUUUAGGCGAUAAGACAUGUGUAAGAGUAAAAUGAACACUAAUAAAAACCAAAGUUUUUUGUGCUGCUUUGAAGUUUACAAAGCUUGUCCCAAUAUUUACAACACGUUCAAGUUUUAAAAGAUUAUUAUCCAGGAUAUAUAAAUAAUUCAUACAAGUCAAUAAGAAAAAGACAACCCAAUGGAAAAAUCGACAGAUUAUAAACAGGCAAUUCAAAUAGCCAAUAAUCACAUGAAAAGAUGCUUGUCAUUACUAGCUGUUGGGGAAAUUCAAAUGAGUCCACUAAGAUACCACUGCCUGUCUGUCAGACAGGCAAAAAUAAUAGGCAGAGAAACCCAAGUGUUGAUGAAAAUAAGGAGAAACGGGAACUACCAUACCAUGCCGGUGGGACUGUAAAUUGGUAAAGUCAGUUUGGGGAGCAACUGGCAAUACUUAAUAGGAGUUGAUAUGAACAGAGCCACGGAACCAGGGCUUCCUCAAUGAGGUAAAACCUUAUUGAAACGUUUGCAUAUGUGCGGAAGGAGAUGUGCAAUGAUGUUCAGUGUCAGCAUUUUAUAUAAUAGUGAAAUAUUGGAAACAAUUUAACCGUACAUUAAUAAGGGAAUGGAUAAAUAAAUGGGCCAUUUGUAGAUGGAACACGAAAUAGCAGCGGACGGAAUAAAUUAGAGCUGCACUCAGCAACGUGGCUAACUCGCUGGAACAUAUCAUUGCGUAAAAAAGAGCAAGCUGCAGAAAGGCAGACAGGAUAUCAUUUAUGUACGUGUAAAAAUCAUUCAAAACAAUGCCACAUGUUUAAAAUUAACUCUAUUUCUCUACCAGAAAGAUCUGGUCAGGAGUAAUACAUGCUGCUAGACGGUGAUAAUUACUUCUGGGGAGGAGAUAGGGAAAGUUUGUAAAGAGGACUUUUAUGGAAUCUUCCACUGAAUGUUUUAAUUAAAAAAUAAUCUGAAGCAAAUAUGGCAAAAUAUGAAUAUUGUCAAAUACAGGGGGUGGGUAAGCUGUGUCUGUUAUGUAUGUUUCUUUGAACUUUUCUGCACGUAUGGGAUGUUUGAUAAACCAACCAAACACUUGACUAACCCAGAGCUUCUUCCCCAAACUAUCUAAUUUGAUCCUCUUUAAGACCCUGAAGGCAGCCAUGAAAGAGAUGUUAAACUUUAAAGUUUCAGGCUUUCUCUUUCUUGGCACCUGCCUUUUGUUGUGCUGAUUGGGGCUGUAGUGUAGGUGAGGAAGAGACUAAUGGAUUUUCAUUAGAAAAGGCCAGUAGCCCUGGUGGGGAUGGGGCAGGGGACUGGGAAAAUAGGAAGGGAACCAGGAGAGUGCCCAGGUUCUGAGACAAGGUUGAAGAAACUGAGGUUCAGAGAAGGAGAGUAAUUUAUCCAACAUCCUACAUGGGCAGAGCUGGAAUGUACACCCCUCAUUACCUAACUCUACAUUUAGGUCAAAGGCAGAAGCACAGAUAUUGGAUGUGGACAGAUGUGGGUCAGAUCCCAGCUCAGCUAUUUAGUAUGUGUGUGACCAUAGGGAGCCCACCUAACUCUCUGAGCUAGGGUCCCUGUUGCCUUUCUUAGAGUGUCAUUGAGAUGCACAAGUAACAUAAUGUAUAUAAAGGGACUAGUGGGAAUCGGUACUGUGUCUAAAUCUUGGUGUUUACUCCAUAAAUAAAGUUACAAUCGCCAUCCCCAGUAUCAUUUCAAUUUGUUUCAGCCAUUCUUCAACAACUUGUCUUAUCACUCUCUCCCCUGACUUCCCCCUUCCCUCCAGCGUAAAGCUGGACAGUUUUCUGUGGGCAAGCAACCAAUUUAUCUGUGUCCAAAAAUCAGUUUCAGUAUUCCAGUGAAGUCUACCAAACCCGGAGACAAGGGGAAAGACCACCUCCUUUCUCUGCAGUCCUUACUCCUAAGAGUGCAGUCUGCGAGAUCAUCAAUUUUGGGAGCAGUCACAUCAACCCUGCCUACUCAACUAUCGACUAAAACCCCUACAUCUUUUUAUAUAACUUACAAUUAAAAUAUGUCCUUUGCCCACCCUGUACAGUUGGAUUUGCCAACUCAGAUGAAGGAUCUUAAAUAGAAAAUAAGGAGGAAAGACCAACAUAACAAAAAUGAUACUAGUGCUAUGGAGGAAAUAAAAUUGCUUUUAUUUUGUGAGUAUUAUCAUGAUCUUACGGGUUCUUUUUUUAAAAAAAAAUUAUUGUUAAAUGUGCUAUAAAUCAUUAUCAUCAUUGUUCUUUUUGAUUUCUCAAUUGAUUUGACCAGUGGGAAUUCCUUCAAAACAAUUCCUAUGUCCUUUUGAUACAUCUUCAAUCUU